rnacentral:rRNA from 1 species
AACGUAGGACGCGAGCGUUAUCCGGAGUUACUGGGCGUAAAGGGCGGGUAGGCGGACGGGCAAGAUGGGUGUGAAAUCUCCCGGCUCAACCGGGAGGGGCCACUCGUGACUGCCUGACUGGAGGGCGACAGAGGAGCGUGGAAUUCCGGGUGGAGUGGUGAAAUGCGUAGAGAUCCGGAGGAACACCAGAGGCGAAAGCGGCGCUCUGGGUCGCACCUGACGCUGAACCGCGAAAGCCAGGGUAGCGAACGGG